rnacentral:snRNA from 1 species
AUCCAAGUGCAUGGGCAAGAUCUUGGGCAAUGAGGAGAUUCUCCGAGCCACGAUUAUUGCUGUUUGAAAACUAAGGUUUGACCGCUUCAACUGGUUCUUUUUGAUCAGCUGAGAAUCUUUGUAACCAAGAACUCUUU